GUGACACAUGUCAUUUAUUUGAAAGGGGCAAUUGUUCCACUACAAGAUGGACCUGCGUUGUAUUAGCUAGUAGGUGAGGUAAUGGCUCACCUAGGCGACGAUACAUAGCCGACCUGAGAGGGUGAUCGGGCCACAUUGGGACUGAGACACGGCCCAGACUCCUACGGGAGGCAGCAGUGGGGAACUCUUCCGCAAUGGACGAAAGUCUGACGGAGCAACGCCGCGUGAGUGAUGACGGCCUUCGGGUUGUAAAGCUCUGUUAAUCGGGACGAAAGGCCUUCUUGCGAAUAGUGAGAAGGAUUGACGGUACCGGAAUAGAAAGCCACGGCUAACUACGUGCCAGCAGCCGCGGUAAUACGUAGGUGGCAAGCGUUGUCCGGAAUUAUUGGGCGUAAAGCGCGCGCAGGCGGAUAGGUCAGUCUGUCUUAAAAGUUCGGGGCUUAACCCCGUGAUGGGAUGGAAACUGCCAAUCUAGAGUAUCGGAGAGGAAAGUGGAAUUCCUAGUGUAGCGGUGAAAUGCGUAGAUAUUAGGAAGAACAC
rnacentral:rRNA from 1 species